UCUGGUACUCUGGGCUGGAUUAGCCCCAAGCUCUUCAGCCCAAGGACCCUGUUACAACAGGAUAUUACCCUCUCUCUCUAUGGAGCUAUUCUGAAGCCCAGCAGGAGGACUGAAGCCAGUCUACAAUGCAGCUAAUGGUCAGGCUGUUGAAGAGAAUGGACUGAAAGUGCCAGAUGGCUAGAAGACUACACACAAUCGUAAACACUGCACAUGGAGCACUGAAGUGGAGAACCAGGCCCAAGAUGGUUUCUGUUUCCUUGGGUACUCUGCAGCAAUUCUCUUCGGCUGAUGUGACAUCUACUAAUUGCUAGGACUGCCAAACUUUUUCCACUAUUUUAUGUCAUCCCUAGGUGCCCGGUAAUAAACAAAAGUGGUAGAGCAGCCUCAGCAGUUGGCAUGAAAAGUGUUGACAAGAGAACAAAAGCAAAGUGAAACCUCAAAGCUAUCGUCUACUAACGACUGUGUAGGAGAGCAAGCCGGAAGAACUAUGCCCAGCAUGGGUACACUUUCAGAGCAGCACUAAUCAGUGUAAAAUAGCUGUAAAGGAUUAUGGGAUUUGAAUUACGGGUAAAAACAAUGGAAGGUUUUUGGUUGUAGUAGGGUGGAAGGACUGGUGAGAGCAUGGACAAAUCCUGGAGUUUUGUUUUGGACUGGUGGGAUGGUGGCUGUUGGGUGUAUAUAAAAGAUAAAGUAUUGAAAAUAAUUUAGGAGAGAGAUUAUAUUUAAACUUAUCACCAUAAGACACCCUAGGGACAAAAAGAAAGACUGAUCUGAUUCCUGACUUCUGUCAGUACUAAAGGAAUGGUUUGAAUUGUACAUUAUCGGUUUUCCAAAGAAGAAAUAUACGGUAGUUAUAAUUUCCUGAGAGCAAACAGGAAAACAUAACAGACAAAAACAAUGUAAACCUGUUUCUUUUCCAUCCUUAGUGUCUUUGUAUGCACCCCAGCUAAUUAGAUACUGGGGGAUGAUGAUUGCUUGUAAAUAUUUUAGAUUAUAUUAACAUUUAGAUUGGUUCAGUAGAUAUCAGUGUUCAUUAUGGAUCCAACCCUGAGAGGUUCUGAUCACCCUCCACUCCCAUUAAAAUAGAUCAUAAUCUUGUAGGAUCAGGUCCAUGAUCUGUGAAAUCAAAGGAAACAGACAUACCUGAACAAACCUCUUCAUAGGUCGGAUUUGGGGUACACCCUCCUGCAUAACCCACUUGAGUGGAGUAGACUCCUUUCUGUGUCCAAAACUUUCUCUCUGCUCCCCAGAAACAUCCCAUACC